UCCUUCUUAGCUCAGUUGGUAGAGCGCGUCACUAGUAUAUUUGGUCGGAUAUGUAAUCAUGACGAGGUCAGUCGUUCGAGUCGGCUAGAAGGAA